rnacentral:rRNA from 1 species
UAGGGAAUCUUCGGCAAUGGACGAAAGUCUGACCGAGCAACGCCGCGUGAGUGAAGAAGGUUUUCGGAUCGUAAAACUCUGUUGUUAGAGAAGAACAAGGACGUUAGUAACUGAACGUCCCCUGACGGUAUCUAACCAUAAAGCCACGGCUAACUACGUGCCAGCAGCCGCGGUAAUACGUAGGUGGCAAGCGUUGUCCGGAGUUAUUGGGCGUAAAGCGAGCGCAGGCGGUUUCUUAAGUCUGAUGUGAAAGCCCCCGACUCAACCGGAGAGGGUCAUUGGAAACUGGGAGACUUGAGUGCAGAAGAGGAGAGUGGAAUUCCAUGUGUAGCGGUGAAAUGCGUAGAUAUAUGGAGGAACACCAGUGGCGAAGGCGGCUCUCUGGUCUGUAACUGACGCUGAGGCUCGAAAGCGUGGGGAGCAAACAGG